GAUGAAUGCUGGCGGCAGGCCUAACACAUGCAAGUCGAACGAACCCUUCGGGGUUAGUGGCGGACGGGUGAGUAACACGUGGGAACGUGCCUUUAGGUUCGGAAUAACUCAGGGAAACUUGUGCUAAUACCGAAUGUGCCCUUCGGGGGAAAGAUUUAUCGCCUUUAGAGCGGCCCGCGUCUGAUUAGCGAGUUGGUGAGGUAAUGGCUCACCAAGGCUACGAUCAGUAGCUGGUCUGAGAGGAUGACCAGCCACAUUGGGACUGAGACACGGCCCAAACUCCUACGGGAGGCAGCAGUGGGGAAUCUUGCGCAAUGGGCGAAAGCCUGACGCAGCCAUGCCGCGUGGAUGAUGAAGGACUUAGGAUUGUAAAAUCCUUUCACCGGUGAAGAUAAUGACUGUAGCCGGAGAAGAAGCCCCGGCUAACUUCGUGCCAGCCGCCGCCGUAACAC
rnacentral:rRNA from 1 species